UGUCUUUAAGGGUAGACCAGCCAAAACGCAGGAGGCCGCUGGCUAGGGGGCCAUCCCGGCUUACCAACCCGAUGCAAACUGCGAAUACCGGAGAAUGUUAUCACGGGAGACACACGGCGGGUGCUAACGUCCGUCGUGAAGAGGGAAACAACCCAGACCGCCAGCUA
rnacentral:rRNA from 1 species